rnacentral:lncRNA from 1 species
GCUGGAGGUUGAAAGAGGCCGGGAGCAGAGUGGCACUUCCGUGAACGGUGCUCAGCCAGCCCGCUAGAUAGACGGUGACGGUGGAGGAGAAACUGAACAUCAGUAAGGGGCGCCCAAGAGGCUGAUGUGUGUUCAGGUAACCGGCCAGUCUGCCAGAUGUCCUCACCCAGCCCACAGCUAAAAGGACCGGUUAAGUGCGGAGGCUUCCAGGAAAAAAAAAAAAAAAAAAAAAAAAAAAGAUAAGGAUUCUCUUAAAUUUUCUCCUCCGGUAGAUUGUCCACCAAUUUAUGUUUGUCUAAUGUUUCUGUCGUUGUUAAAUAGGGGUUAUGGCUUUGGGGGAAGGAAGGCAGUAUAAGUGAAAUACCAUUUUCAUCACAUGAUAUGUCAGAGGUAAUGCUGUCAAUAUGACUUAUCACGAUGUUGUUAACCUUGAUUAACUAGCUGAUAGAAAGUGUUUAAAUACGGUUAAUAGAUUUAGAUUAAUUUAUUUAUAAGUUCAGCUUCUUAUUAGAAAUCAGAGUGGACAGGAACUAAUUUUUUCUUUAAUAUUAUAACCUUGAAGUUGCCUAAUAAUUGAUAAGAGUGUAUAUUAAUAAGCAUAUAUCUGGCCAUGAUUCCAGAAGGUAACCUUUGGGAUCUUUCCAGCUCAGUUUUCUUUUCUCUCACAAUUCUGGGUUAGAGAUGGCAAAUACUUUCCCUUACAAAUUUAAAGACUUUUUCCCUGCUGAAAUUACCUAGGUUUCUUUUUAAGCCAUCUUUUUUCUCAGCCAAGUGAUUUCACAUAAUUGAUUAAUUAUUCCAUUCAGGCUCAAGUAUCUGUGUGUGACUUUGCAGGCUAGAGAAGCCUGUAAAUAAUGACUUCAGUCAGCAUCUAGUUCUUACUUCGUUUGCAGAAAAGCUAGCUCUGUUCUUGCUCAAUUUUUAGAAAAAGGUCCGAGCUUGGGAGAUACGAUUGCUGUUAAUCCAGAUAAAGCAAAUCCCAGGCCCAUCCUUCAGGUUUGUAGGGAACCUCUGGGGCACUGAGCUUUUCACUGACAUAAAUUAAUAAACUGCCAUGGGCCACGGAAAAGAUAAAAGAAAAUAUACAAGCUUCAGUUGCUUGCUAGAAGCUUACAACAUGACUAUUCAUCUCCUUAACAAAGAACCAUGAAGUAUUUGGGAAAAGAAAGGCUACACUUAAACUAUUCCUUGUAGAAGAGGUAAAACUUGAUGUGAUAUUGCUUCCAUAGUGUGGGGACGCAACUGCUGGGCUAGGCUUGGUUAGAUUUGGCUUAGUAUUAACUGCUCCCCUGUCACUUAAGGAUAUUAUUCUUCUUUCCUCUCCUCUCCUCUCAUUCCUUUUUCCCUCCUCCCUCCUCUCCACUCUCUUUUCUCCUCAGAGAAAGAAACCAACUCUGAGUUUUUCUUUUCUUUUCUUUUUCAGCUGCACCCAUGGCACAUGGAAGUUCCCAGGCCAGGGAUUGAUUCUGAGCUGCAGCUGCAACCUACACCACAGCUGUGGCAACACUGGAUCUUUAACCCACUGCAUCAUAGUGGGAAUUCCCCAACUCUUAUUUGAAUAUUUUCAGAAUAUUGGAAGAAUUCAUGGAAUUAAGAAGAGGGCUUCUGCCAGCCUCAGGAAGAAACUGAUCUUCAAUCUCUAAAAUGCUGCCAGAGGAUGACUCUGUGCCAUGGUUCAUUUCAUAUGGCCACCUGGCUAGGCCACAGUACCCAGAUAUUUGCUCAAACAUUAUUCGAGAUGAUUCUGUGAAUAUCUUUUUAAAAUGAGAUUACCCUUUAAAUCCCUAGACUUUGAGUAAAGCAGGUUACCCUCCACAAUGUGAGUAGGCCUCAUCCAACCAAUUGAAGGCCUUAAUAGAAAAAAGACUGAUCUCCCAGCUGAAAGGGAAUCCUGCCAGCAGACCUCCUUCAAACUUGAACUGCAGUUCUUCCCUGGGUCUCCAGCCUGCUGUCCUACCCUGCAGACUUGUCAGCCCCCUUAAUUUCAUAAGCCAAUUCCUUAAAACAAAUUCUUCUGUCUCUCUCACUCUCAGACUACCCAGAUAGACAUGAAUAUGCAUAUGGUUGUGGAUAUAGAUAUAGAUGUAUUUCCUAUUGGUUCUCUUUCUCUGGAGAACCCUGACUGAUACACUAGCUCCAAAACUUUCGUUCAUUUGGCUCUCCAUUCAAGAUCCAAUGCAGAGAACAUGAAAUAUCCUUGGCCCUCAAACUAUUUGAAUUCAAGUGCUGUGCUCUUGUUGGCUGAAAAAAAAAAGCACAUGGUAAGCGUUGUUAGUUUCAGUUUUAUUCAGGGACCUUACUGAGGACAGUAAGGGAAACAGCCUCUCAGUUGCUCUGAUGGGACUGAUCUGAACAGAUGGGAGGGAGCCCAUACAUACAUGAUUUUGGCUCAAGAAUACCUACAGUCAAGUACACAUCUCAGUAGUACUUGAAUGCAGUUAUUCCUGAGCCAAAAAUGAGCCAAAGGAUGUAAGAAUGUGGGUUCAUUAAAAUUCUUCCUAAAAUAAGGAAGACCUCUUCCUUUGAGGGGUCUGUUUUUCUAAAGCUCAGGGUGCCUAAUCCUGUUUUUUGUUUUUUUUUUUUUCUUUCAGGGUGCAUCUUUGGUCAGCGACUUCAGUGACUAAUAAUUAGACCCUUGUAAAGCUGGACGAUGGGCAGCACUCUAUUUUUUUUUUUUAAUUUUUUACCGGCCCCCCUUUUGGUUAUACAUUCAACCAAGAUUUGGGAGGCAUUUCAUGAUCGAUUUGUCUCAUGGGACUAGGAAAUCUCAUUUCUAGGUCAUGAGAGGAUUCUAUGGAUAGGCCACUCAAUUUCUAGGCCCUGUUGAUAGUCACAGUAAACGUUUCUGAACCACAUGUCCUACUAGUCUAUUAUGGUCCAUGAAAGGAUUCUUCCUUGUUGUUCUUCCCAUAUCUAGAAGUAUACUAUUACAAUCAUUUAACUCUUAUGUAGAACUACAUAUUUGGUCAAUCAUUUCAAGUUGUUUAGUCAUCCCUAAUUUUUUCAGAAACUGUUAUACAUUGAAUAAUACAAAAAACGACAAUCUUUUAAAAUAGACAAAAUACAGGUAAUAGGACUAGUAUCAUUAAAGUUAUAAGCAAGAAUUUAAGCCAAGAAUUUCCAUUACCAAACCAGUUCUUUAAGAGACCACCAAGACAAAGGAAUGGAUCAUUAGACAGAAAUCUGGUUUUUCAUGGGGUCAUUAAAUGUAUCACAUUAAAGGAUUAAUCUGGCGUAAAGACAAAACGUUCAGUUUGAAUUAGGGUGAAGGUGCCUCCUUGAAAUGCAAAGGCCAUGUGACAUUGUAAUAGUGCUUUUUUUCCUCAUGGAAACAUCAGAAUUCAGUAGCAUAAUGUGCUGACAGCUAUAUCAUUUAAGGUUUGCUGAGUGAAUUUUGUUAAGGAUUCAAUGUGGGUGAUUAUAUUUUCCAAUCUUACUGGAGGUGCAAAGAAUGCUGCUACAUGGUCAUACCAAUAAAAUAUCAAUGAUUCAUUGGCCUCAUACCAAUGGUAAUUUUGCUGGAAUCAUCUAAUUUUGCACCCAAGUGGUCUUGAGCCCAAGGGAAUCCUAGGGUCCGUCUUCUUGUCUAUCCUGGAUAGUUUUCAUUUUAAAACUUAGUCAUGAGUCAGGUAUUACAAUAUAAAACUCACUAGUUUAUAAAUAACAGUUGGAAUAAACUGUCUACUUAUUUGAGUUUAAAAAGACCUCUUCUGGAGUUCCCACUGUAGCAGGUUAAGUAUCCCUCACAGUCUCUGAAGUGGCAUGGGUUAAAUCCCUGGCCUGGUGCAGUGGGUUAAAGAUCUGUUGUUGCUGCAGUUGUGGCAUAGGUUGCAACUAUAGCUCAGAUCUGAUCCCUUGCCUGGGAACUUUCACGUGCUGUGGGCAUGGCCAAUAAAGAAAAAAAAAGACGUCCUUUUUUUUCUCACAGUGUCAGGCAUUGGAGAUAGUCUAGCUAAGAGCUGCUGGGAGCCCUAGUAAAACAUUUAUAUCUGAAUUCCUCCCAGGGUGCUCUGUCACUCUGUGACUGCAGUGGCUAACGUCUUGAUCCUUGUAGAACUGGAUAGUGGGCAACAUUAUUUGCUUUACACUCCAGAUGACCUUUCUGGGUGCUGACAUAUGAGUGGAAGUGGAGGGAACAUUUACAACCUAGUGAGCUAAAUAAAUGGGGAGUGCUGUUAACUGACUAAUCAAGCUGAGAUCUCAAGUAACAUGGAU